UACGGAGGGUGCUAGCGUUGUUCGGAAUUAUUGGGCGUAAAGCGCACGUAGGCGGCUUUUUGCGUCAGAGGUGAAAGCCCGGGGCUCAACCCCGGAAUUGCCUUUAAGACGGCAUCGCUUGAAUCCGGGAGAGGUGAGUGGAAUUCCGAGUGUAGAGGUGAAAUUCGUAGAUAUUCGGAAGAACACCAGUGGCGAAGGCGGCGCACUGGACCGGUAUUGACGCUGAGGUGCGAAAGCGUGGGGAGCAAACAGG
rnacentral:rRNA from 1 species